rnacentral:misc_RNA from 1 species
UUUCCGUAGGUGAACCUGCGGAAGGAUCAUUAAUGAGUUGUCAUGGGGUUCGAUGCUGGCAGCCAAUUUUUGGAUGCAUGUGCUUGCCCUAACAAUCAUCUUCCAAACACCUGUGCACAUUUUUGAGGGAGUCCUGAGUUGGUUGCCGCUCUUGGGUGAUUUCUCACAUUCCCUUAAAUCUUUAUACGCUAUUAACAAUGUUGAACGUGCUCUGUGCCGCAAGGCUAUUAAUAUAAUACAACUUUUAACAACGGAUCUCUUGGCUCUC